rnacentral:rRNA from 1 species
UGAGGAAUAUUGGUCAAUGGGCGGAAGCCUGAACCAGCCAAGUCGCGUGAGGGAUGACGGCCCUACGGGUUGUAAACCUCUUUUGCCGGGGAACAGAUUGCGGGACGUGUCCCGCGGAGGAGUGUACCCGGAGAAAAAGCAUCGGCUAACUCCGUGCCAGCAGCCGCGGUAAUACGGAGGAUGCGAGCGUUAUCCGGAUUUAUUGGGUUUAAAGGGUGCGUAGGCGGCGCCUCAAGUCAGCGGUCAAACCGGGGGGCUCAACCUUCCGUCGCCGUUGAAACUGGGGCGCUUGAGUGGGCGAGAAGUGCGCGGAAUGCGUGGUGUAGCGGUGAAAUGCAUAGAUAUCACGCAGAACUCCGAUUGCGAAGGCAGCGCACCGGCGCCCAACUGACGCUGAAGCACGAAAGCGUGGGUAUCGAACAGG